AUUGAACGCUGGCGGCAGGCUUAACACAUGCAAGUAGAGCGAGAGGCGGACGGGUGAGUAAUGUCUGGGAAACCGCCUGAGGGAGGGGGAUAACUACUGGAAACGGUAUCUAAUCCCGCACACAAUAAGAAGAGCACAUAUGGGAUUAGCAAGUCGGUGGGGUAAUGGCUCAACUAGGAGACGAUCCCUAGCUGGUCUGAGAGGAUGACCAGCCACACUGGAACGGAGACACGGUCCAGACUCCUACGGGAGGCAGCAGUGGGGAAUAUUGCACAAUGGGCGCAAGCCUGAUGCAGCCAUGCCGCGUGUGUGAAGAAGGCCUUCGGGUUGUAAAGCACUUUCAGCGGGGAGGCGUUACUCGCAGAAGAAGCACCGGCUAACUCCGUGCCAGCAGCCGCGGUAAUUC
rnacentral:rRNA from 1 species